GCUAAUACGCAGAUGGGGAAGGAAUCUAUUAAAAAAAAAAAAAUUAAAAAAAAAUAGAUUCCUUUUUAAAUUUUU
rnacentral:ribozyme from 11 species